UGAAAUAUUUUUGACAGCUCUGUAUUCUCUGUAAUAUGUAGUGCCUUUGGUGCAUAGUACACAUGUUCCAUUAUAGUCUUCAUACGUGCUUCACACGUGUUCAACAAAGGAUGUUCCAGCGGCUAAAUAAACCACACGGAAAAAAUAACAGCAUAACCCAGAAUUCCAUGUACCCAGCUUCUGUGUGGUAUCAUUUAUUUUUCUUCCAGCGUACACCGUCGGAGGGCGGUAACAGCGCUUAAUGUGUAAGAGUGUACUACAGUGCCAACAUCAAAUACUCUGUACGAUGGAAGGCGAGUCGUUCACUGACAUUAAUGGCACACCCAUAUUUUUAGACUGUCAGAGCCACUCCACAUUUUGUAGGGAGUUCACCGUUACUUCUCCUAAAGUGCCCGUCACCAAAGUGAUUGUAUUCACCUGCAGUAUUUGGCUCCUGGCCUAUGCUGUGUUCCUCUUCACUGAGGACACAGUUGUUCUGACAAGUGCUAUACUCAUCACCCUGGUCAGUAUGAUGCUCUACGUCCAUUUAGUGAAAGUUGAACAGGAGACCCUGUUCAUCAUUGGUUCCCUGGGAGUUCAGAUGUCGUCCAGCUAUGCCUCAGGCCGCGAAACGACCACAUUCAUUGAACUGAACAAAAUCAAGGAUAUUGUGAUCAAUGAAGCAAUAUACAUGCAUCAAAUCAUCUACUACCUUUGUGUACUGUUGAAAGAUCCUUCAGACCCUGAUGCAGUGUCCAGUGUUGUGCCGCUAUUUCAGCUAUUCUGCCCCCCAACUCUGGAACGCACCGCCUCAACAUCUCCAUACCAUAACAUCCCUGCCUACUUUCAAGUCUCAGGCUUAAACCAAAGAAGUCCCCUUCAGCUCACUGACAAAAGCCUACAACCAGAGCUCUGACACAUGACUGCAUGACGGACAGCACGGCAACUGACGUGUCCAGCAGCUGAACUUUGACCGGAGAUCCUUCCACUUGGACCUGACCUGUUAGAAACCAGACACGUUAACGAUUUGGGUAACCAUUGGAGGUGUAGCUGACGAUCAUGCUGGUCUUCCCGACAGCUCCAUCUCCGACCAGCAUACAGCUGAUGACGCCGGGCUCCAGCUCAUCCUCCCGGGUCAGCCCGCAGGCAGAUGGGACUCGGGACUCGUGG